rnacentral:rRNA from 1 species
UAGGGAAUUUUCGGCAAUGGGGGCAACCCUGACCGAGCAACGCCGCGUGAGUGAAGAAGGUUUUCGGAUCGUAAAGCUCUGUUGUAAGUCAAGAACGAGUGUGAGAGUGGAAAGUUCACACUGUGACGGUAGCUUACCAGAAAGGGACGGCUAACUACGUGCCAGCAGCCGCGGUAAUACGUAGGUCCCGAGCGUUGUCCGGAUUUAUUGGGCGUAAAGCGAGCGCAGGCGGUUUGAUAAGUCUGAAGUUAAAGGCUGUGGCUCAACCAUAGUUCGCUUUGGAAACUGUCAAACUUGAGUGCAGAAGGGGAGAGUGGAAUUCCAUGUGUAGCGGUGAAAUGCGUAGAUAUAUGGAGGAACACCGGUGGCGAAAGCGGCUCUCUGGUCUGUAACUGACGCUGAGGCUCGAAAGCGGGGGGAGCGAACAGGAUUAGAUACCCUGGUAGUCCACGCCGUAAACGAUGAGUGCUAGGUGUUGGAUCCUUUCCGGGAUUCAGUGCCGCAGCUAACGCAUUAAGCACUCCGCCUGGGGAGUACGACCGCAAGGUUG